CCUACGGGAGGCUGCAGUGGGGAAUAUUGGACAAUGGGGGCAACCCUGAUCCAGCCAUGCCGCGUGUGUGAAGAAGGCCCUCGGGUUGUAAAGCACUUUCAGUGAGGAAGAACGCCUGGUGGUGAAUACCCAUCAGGAAAGACAUCACUCACAGAAGAAGCACCGGCUAACUCCGUGCCAGCAGCCGCGGUAAUACGGAGGGUGCGAGCGUUAAUCGGAAUUACUGGGCGUAAAGCGCGCGUAGGUGGCUUGAUAAGCCGGUUGUGAAAGCCCCGGGCUCAACCUGGGAACGGCAUCCGGAACUGUCAAGCUAGAGUGCAGGAGAGGAAGGUAGAAUUCCCGGUGUAGCGGUGAAAUGCGUAGAGAUCGGGAGGAAUACCAGUGGCGAAGGCGGCCUUCUGGACUGACACUGACACUGAGGUGCGAAAGCGUGGGUAGCAAACAGGAUUAGAUACCCUGGUAGUC
rnacentral:rRNA from 1 species